rnacentral:misc_RNA from 1 species
GAUGAAGAACGCAGCGAAAUGCGAUACGUAAUGUGAAUUGCAGAAUUCAGUGAAUCAUCGAAUCUUUGAACGCAUAUUGCGCUCUCUGGUAUUCCGGAGAGCAUGCUUGUUUGAGUAUCAGUAAACACCUCAACCUCCAUAUCUUUUUUGAAAUGGGAGUUGGACUUGAGUGAUCCCAACGCUUUUCCUCACCGAAAAGUGGCGGGUUACUUGAAAUGCAGGUGCAGCUGGACUUUUCUCUGAGCUAUAAGCAUAUCUAUUUAGUCUGCCUAAAAAACAGAUUAUUACCUUUGCUGCAGCUAACAUAAAGGAGAUUAGUUCUUGUGCUGACUGAUGCAGGAUUCACAAAGACAGGCUUCGGCCGACUUUGUAAACUCGAUCUCAAAUCAAGUAAGACUACCCGCUGAACUUAAGCAUAUCAAUAAGCGGAGGA